rnacentral:rRNA from 1 species
UACGUAGGGGGCGAGCGUUGUCCGGAUUUAUUGGGCGUAAAGAGCGUGUAGGCGGCCAGGUAGGUCUGCUGUGAAAACUCGAGGCUCAACCUCGAGACGUCGGCGGAAACCAUCUGGCUAGAGUCCGGAAGAGGAGAGUGGAAUUCCUGGUGUAGCGGUGAAAUGCGCAGAUAUCAGGAAGAACACCCGUGGCGAAGGCGGCUCUCUGGGACGGUACUGACGCUGAGACGCGAAAGCCAGGGGAGCGAACGGG